UGGGGAAUUUUCCGCAAUGGGGGCAACCCUGACGGAGCAACGCCGCGUGCGGGAGGACGGCCUGUGGGUUGUAAACCGCUUUUCUCUAGGAAGAAGAUCUGACGGUACUAGAGGAAUCAGCAUCGGCUAACUCCGUGCCAGCAGCCGCGGUAAGACGGAGGAUGCAAGCGUUAUCCGGAAUUAUUGGGCGUAAAGAGUCCGUAGGCGGUAAUUCAAGUCAGUUGUUAAAGACUGCAGCUCAACUGUGGGCGAGCAACUGAAACUGAGUUACUAGAGAGCGGUAGGGGUAGAGGGAAUUCCCAGUGUAGCGGUGAAAUGCGUAGAUAUUGGGAAGAACACCAGUGGCGAAGGCGCUCUACUGGGCCGUAACUGACGCUGAGGGACGAAAGCUAGGGGAGCGAAAGGGAUUAGAUACCCGCGUAGUCC
rnacentral:rRNA from 1 species